AGAGUUGAUCCUGGCUCAGGAUGAACGCUAGCGGUAGGCUUAACACAUGCAAGUCGAACGGUAACAUUUCUUGCUUGCAAGAAGAUGACGAGUGGCGCACGGGUGCGUAACGCGUAUACAACCUACCUUGAACAAAGGGAUAGCCCAUGGAAACGUGGAUUAAUACCUUAUAACAUCUAGAUAUGGCAUCAUAUUUAGAUCAAAGAUUUAUCGGUUUAAGAGGGGUAUGCGUGACAUUAGCUAGUUGGUGAGGUAACGGCCCACCAAGGCAACGAUGUCUAGGGGUUCUGAGAGGAUGAUCCCCCACACUGGUACUGAGACACGGACCAGACUCCUACGGGAGGCAGCAGUGAGGAAUAUUGCGCAAUGGAGGAAACUCUGACGCAGCCAUGCCGCGUGAAGGAAUGAAUGCCCUAUGGGUUGUAAACUUCUUUUAUAUGGGAAGAAAUAUAGAUACGUGUAUUUAUUUGACGGUACCAUACGAAUAAGCACCGGCUAACUCCGUGCCAGCAGCCGCGGUAAUACGGAGGGUGCAAGCGUUAUCCGGAUUCAUUGGGUUUAAAGGGUACGUAGGCGGAUAGAUAAGUCAGUGGUGAAAGCCCGAAGCUCAACUUCGGAACUGCCAUUGAAACUGUUUAUCUUGAAUUUGGUUGAAGUGGGCGGAAUAUGACAUGUAGCGGUGAAAUGCAUAGAUAUGUCAUGGAACACCAAUAGUGAAGACAGCUCACUAAGCCAAUAUUGACGCUGAGGUACGAAAGCAUGGGGAGCGAACAGGAUUAGAUACCCUGGUAGUCCAUGCCGUAAACGAUGAUUACUAGCUAUUAGCGAUACAAUGUUAGUGGCAAAGCGAAAGCAUUAAGUAAUCCACCUGGGAAGUACGGUCGCAAGAUUGAAACUCAAAGGAAUUGACGGGGGCCCGCACAAGCGGUGGAGCAUGUGGUUUAAUUCGAUGAUACGCGAGGACCCUUACCAGGGCUUAAAUGGGGAUUGACAGGACUGGAAACAGUUUUUUCUUCGGACAAUCUUCAAGGUGCUGCAUGGUUGUCGUCAGCUCGUGCUGUGAAGUGUCGGGUUAAGUCCCAUAACGAGCGCAACCCCUAUUUCUAGUUGCUAGCAGGUAAUGCUGAGGACUCUAGAGAAACUGCCCGUGCAAACGGUGAGGAAGGUGGGGAUGACGUCAAAUCAUCACGGCCCUUACGUCCUGGGCUACACAC
rnacentral:rRNA from 1 species